UACGUAGGGACCAAGCGUUGUUCGGAAUUACUGGGCGUAAAGGGCUCGUAGGCGGCCAACUAAGUCGGACGUGAAAUCCCCAGGCUCAACCUGGGAACUGCGUCCGAUACUGGAUGGCUUGAAUCCGGGAGAGGGAUGCAGAAUUCCAGGUGUAGCGGUGAAAUGCGUAGAUAUCUGGAGGAAUACCGGUGGCGAAGGCGGCAUCCUGGACCGGCAUUGACGCUGAGGAGCGAAAGCCAGGGGAGCAAACGGG
rnacentral:rRNA from 1 species